rnacentral:lncRNA from 1 species
CAAAGACUGUAUUGGAUGAAUGACGAUGGUGAUAUAAGAUCUGUUAAUGUGGAUGGUUCUGAAGUUAAAACAAUCAUUUCAACAGGUUAUCGUACAAGCCAUUUUGCUAUAGGUGUAUUCCGUAGUUACAUUUACUAUGCUGAAAAUAACAAUAAGUUCGUUAUGAGGAAUAAAUCACAAGGAUCCACACCAACUAUUCUAUAUACAGACACCAGCACCAUUACAAGCAUAUAUGUGUUUAAUUCAACAGGUAUGUAUAUAACCUUGACAUAAGACCGAAGUUGUCGAAUGCAUGCCUUAAGAGUGGUCACUUAUUAAUUAUACUAUACUUGACAAAGUAACAUAUCAAAAAGGAAAAUAGAUUCAAUAGACGGUAACAGAAGAAAUACAUGAAAAACAGAGAAAGAACAAGUAUACACAACAAUAAAAAAAACAUCGAUCACAAUGAACCGCACAAAAUGAACAAGGGAGAACGAAUGAUUAUAUGUUUUAAUGUACUUGAAUAACCUUGAACAUAGGCAAAAUGAUGUUGUUAUAUAAUGAUAGAAAGGAAAAUCUUACUGACGCAAACCAUUCGAUAUUAAGAGUCGAAACACUCUUCCUGUAAACACAUAAGUUAUAAAUAUUAUGAAAUGAAGGAAUAUGACAGCCAC